rfam:Ricinus communis cultivar Hale ctg_1100012336088, whole genome shotgun sequence.
GGGUGCGAUCAUACCAGUACUAAUGCACUGAUUCCCAUCAGAACUCCGAAGUUAAACGUGCUUGGGCGAGAGUAGUACUAAGAUGGGUGACCUCUUGGGAAGUCCUCGUUUUGCACCCC